rnacentral:rRNA from 1 species
UACGUAGGGUGCGAGCGUUGUCCGGAAUUAUUGGGCGUAAAGAGCUCGUAGGCGGUUUGUCGCGUCUGCUGUGAAAUCCCGAGGCUCAACCUCGGGUCUGCAGUGGGUACGGGCAGGCUAGAGUGCGGUAGGGGAGAAUGGAACUCCUGGUGUAGCGGUGGAAUGCGCAGAUAUCAGGAAGAACACCGAUGGCGAAGGCAGUUCUCUGGGCCGUAACUGACGCUGAGGAGCGAAAGCGUGGGGAGCGAACAGG